ACCUCUCCCAGCUAUACCUAAUGCAGGGAGCAAUUUAGUUCAAAACAUUUUAAACUACCAUACUUGUUUGUUUGUCUCCAUAUCCUUUACCUCUGUUCUACUCAUUCCUGAUGAACUAGCUCAGCUGGUUAGAGCAUGGGGCUAAUAAUGCCAAGGAACACAUGGAACACAUAAGGCUAAGCUAUGACUUCAAAAGCUGAUUUAAUGUCCUUAAGGAACACAGUGUGCAUACCUGGAUUUCAAAAGACUAAUGAGAUGGACAAAUAAGGUCGAUCAUAGCAAAAGCUGGAAGCUAUUCCAAGUGAGGAUAUCUUGAGUAAGGUGCCAGCCAGAGUUCAGACAUUGUGCUGCCACAAGCCCUGGGUCAGCACUUUACCUCUCUAUGUGUCAGUGCAGCAAAUAGCUUAAAUGAAUUGCAUCUACGAGGGCACACAGCUGUGUAAAUCUGCACCCUCAGGGCACAGAGUGCUUACAGCAAUAAAUGCCUGGAGUAAAACAGAGGUGCCCCACGUACACCAGGGAAUGAGCAAUACCUUUGUUGGACCUGAGAUACUACUCAGUGCAGGUGAAGAUCAGAGAGUUCAGGUUUUGCCAAACAAGAAACACACCUGACAUGGAGAGAAUUAUUCAGGAUGUCAUGGCACUCAUUAAGUGUAAAUCUACAGUAAUUCUAUAACAGAAGCUGGAAUAACACCAGUUUUAAAAGGUGAGAUUUAAAAAAGAAUUAAGCAAUCUCCUUGGUUUGUUUUGCAUGGACUAAUUAACAAUAAUUGCAAUCUGCACUAAUGAGGCAGGUGUUACCUAACUGUAAGCAGCAAAAAAACAACUUCCUAAGCAAUUCUCUAUCCAAACAUUAGGUCUUCCUCAAGUUUAAAGAUACAUUCCAUACUAAUUUAUUUUAAUUACCCAUAAGCAACAGGGGGGGGAAACCACUCACAUCUUAGUAAUUUAAGUCCAAAUUUCACUAGUACACGGAUGAGUUACAAAGACCUCUGUAACACAGCUCAGGAUGGAAAUUCUGAGAAGCUGUUGAAUCUAAUGAUAUAACAGAGAGAUUAAAUUUACCUCACAAACCAUUCAAAUCUGGACAGAGACAGAUGGAGGAAGUAUAUCAAAUGUUGGUAUUUCAAGGGAAAAUUUUUAAAUAGUGAAAACAUGAUUACAAUAUCAAUUUAGAAAAUAUAAAAUCUACUGAAGUCUUACUUCCUUAGUCCACAGAGAUCACAAAUGCAACUGCUGAAGGACUGAUGCUACAAUUUAAUUGUGGAGCUAUUCUGGAUUCAUAUAUUACAAAUGUUUCUGCCCAUCUGCUCUGUACCCCAUGAAAAAAGAGCAAAGCUUCAUUGUCCAUCCACAGGACCUGGCUUCAAAUCCUGGCUUCAAGUUCUGGCUCCACUUCCACUCCUUUCUGAGAUUCUGGGAAAAUAAUUUAACUCCUAAUGGCCCAGUACUAAUGCUGACUAACCCUGCACAACCCCUCUGAUCUAUCACAAUUCAACUCAUUAAUUCUUUUCGAGCAUGCAAGUUAACCUGAUACUAUUUUCUGCUCAUCCACUGGGAUUACAAAAAAUUCACUAAACACUCUCCUGUCUCCUCCCAAGAGCAAGUCUUGAGCAGGCACAAAGUCACAGCCUCAGCUCUACCCAACAGCUCUGAUCCUGUCCUUGGAAAGAUUUGGAACCCAGCAGACAGCGCGCUGCCCUGCCUGCUCCAUCACCCAGGCACAAAUUUGGGCAAACCAGGAGCUGGAGCCAACUGCAGCUGACCAUAGCAUAAAACAGGCCCCUGUCUUGGUCAAAUAUUGUUGUCUCAAUCGCCCUGCUUUACACUGCAAACCUAAAAUUACUUUCUUCAUCCUCUGGACAGCCAUGAUCUGUAUUAUUUAGGGAAUGGGAACUACAUACCCUAGCCUACAAAUCUGUAACACUACCCUGGUUCUUGUCACUGCAUUCAAAGUGAUGCAGAGCCAAGAAAAAGUAAGAAAAAUUCUUCUCCCAUCUCACUACUUCUUCAGUUACUCCAAAUAUUAGCUCUGCAGAAGUUCAUAUAGAUAGCACACACACUCAGAGAAGUUAAAAACCUGUGCUUUUACCUUCUGCUUGAAUUUGUCAUGCUUUGGUUUCCAGCCAAAUGUUCUUGCCAUGUCUUUGACAACAGGAUUGGAGAUCCCUCUACUCUCAAAAAUUAUUCCCUCUGUGGGUAAUUAUAGUUGUCACACCAUUCAAAAACCUUCUAAAUGCUCACUUCUACCAUAAAAAAUUUAACAAAUAAAACUAGUCAGGUUUUACUUUUUCAAAGUAGGUGUUUGUAGACAAAAGUUGACUUCUCCAUGUUGAAAACAGGGGGGAAAAAAUCCCAACAUUUUGGAAGAGAGGUUGGGAGAUUCUGUUACUUGCUUUGAAAAAAGUUAUGGUCUCAUUUUUUUCUUUUUUCUGUAGUUGGGUUUUUUUCUUCUUUUCUCAGAUCCUUUAAUUUCUUGCAGUAAAAUCAAAAAGGAGGAGGCAGACAGAUGAAAAUGGCAUUUAAAAUUCAAAUACUUAAUUAUAAACCCACCAAAUGUAAAACUUUCUCUUGCAAUUUUCAAACUUUUAAUAGAACAAAAACUCAAAGCAUGAAAGGAUUGCUUUUCUCUUUGUUAAAACAGCUCUGUAUCUGGGCAAGUUACAGUCUCUCAUUAAAAUUAUACUCUUGAAAUUAAAAUAUAUAAACAUAUAUUUUUGAAAGCAUAUUCUCCUCUAUUACUUAGCCUCUGAAAUGCACUUUGCCUCCUUUCUUUUCUUAAUUUUCCUUCUAUUUUCAUUGCUUCUGAUGUUUGACUGUAAGUUCUUCUGCUGUUUUAAGACACAAAGAAAAACAUUCAAAUGCCACCAAAGGAUAAAUGUAUACAGAAAAACAAUCAUGAGCACUAUAAAUUUAUUACCUCUAGCUGUAUAACAAGAUGACCUUAUUUGCAAUAUAUCAUAUUCAUUGGCUGCUACAUAGGGUCCUUUGAAAUCUGUUAAUUCUGCAGUAAUGUCUUAAUAAUAUCAAACUGUGUACAUUACAAAGCAUAUAUAUUAUCUCAUGUAUUGAAAUAACUUCUCAUUACAGCAUUUCCUAACUCCUACAUCCCCAUUUGACAAACAUUUAAACAAUUUUUGCCUCAUAUUUUAAAGUAUGGCUGACAAAUGCAGAAGAUGAAUUCUUCCAGGAAAACAGGGGAAUAGUAAUGAGUAUACUUCUUAUCUAUGACAUUGCAUUUUUGUGUUUUCAUUGUUCACAGUGCUAAUGCAGUGCUGCUUCAAAAUGCAGUUACCGAUAGAUGCAAAUCACUAACAAUGGUAUGUUCUUCUAUUCAUCUCCUCCCUUAAAUCUGAGUAUUUUUAAAACUAAAUUGUACUUUUAAUAUGAGCAGUAUCAGAAAGCCAAACAGGAGAAGAAAUCUAGGCUUUAUUUUUCCUGUUAUCUCACCCAGGAAAAUUGCCAAAAGCAUAAAUAAAUGCUUGAUUUAAUUAAUUAAUUUCUUAAUUAAUAAAAUCACUUUCCUCCUAUCAGUAACAGGAAUAAGUGAGCUUGGUUUGCCAAUCAAAAUGAAAUUUUAAGAACAGAAAGUAGAGGGAGGGAAUAAAUAUGGAAGCCCACAAGCAAUUACUGAGGUCACCUUCUGAACCACACACAGAUUUUUCUGACAACAAACCUACUCUAAUCUAGAACAGAGGUUAACAAUGAUGUUCCUGUGGUCACAAUACUCCAUUGUAUCAGCCAAAUUAGUGUUUCUUUUAUUCGUAAUGUCCUUGUGUGUUGCUGUCCAAAGUCACUUAGGUGAAUUUACGGAAUAUAUUUUCACAACAGUAGAUCAAUUGGAAAGGCUUAGGAGCAUAUAAUUAUUCCAUAUCAUUACAUUUUACUGCUGUGAUAGGACAAACUUAUCCAAUGGGGGGAAAAAAAAAAAAUAUCUGUUUCAGAGCACAGAAGGUUUAUUUCUUUCUAUUUCUGUCUUUUUUUUUAUUAAAUGUCCCUGGCUUUUAUACUUUCAUAAGUAAAAUGAUUCACUGCAGGAAGUGAAGCGUUAGUGCAGCUUCACGACAUUUUGAAGCUACAGCUGUUUCAAUAACAAGAGUUUUAGCCCUGAAUGUACUAGUAGCACUUGGAGCUGAAAGCAUCUAUUGAGUGAGGAAGGGCUUGACCCUUUGCUCAGUGACUUCAAAGUUGUGAGUCAUAUGGCCUGAAAAGAAUCCCUGAAGUCUUUAGAAAUAACAGUGUAACAUAACCAUUGUGCUACAAGUGGCUUCUGUAAAAAAGCACAUCUAUCAUUAUGCACCAAACUACAUAAAUGAGUCUGAAAAAUUUAACCACACUUUCCAAAGGUUAAAGGCAAAGAAGUAGAAAGCUGCAGGCCUGGACAGCUCAGUCUCCCUGAUGGGAGAGGAGCUGGUUCAGUCCUACUGCCAUCUGCAGCACAGGUGGGCUCUGGGCUGUGCUCUCCUCACUAGAACAUCAUUUGCUAACAUCUACAUAAAUUGUUCUGUCAAAAGAGAACAGUUAGGAAUCAAAAUUAUUAACAACUGUACUGUCUUCCAUCUUCUUCAGCAAAGAUUGCUUCAUUUACCAAUUAGAGAAUACUCCUUCUUUGCCUCUUAACAAACCUUUUCCCAUAGUUUCAGUGGGAGCUUCCAUCUCUCAAGAGCCUUGGCCAGGGUCAGUAGGCAAUGAAUGAGUCUCUAAAAAGGAAGGAAAUACCUGCAGGUGUUGCUGAUCCACUGUACAAGAGGUAACACCUACUAUGAGCACAAUCUCAUGUCCAAUAUAAUGAAGGUAGAAGGGAGAAAUAUAUUUUAAUUACCUGUAUAAAAUAUAAUUAAGAUGGAGGCAAGAACAUCUCCAUAAACAAAACAAGAAGAAUGUAUUAAAAAAAAAUAAAAAUAGGGAAAUAGGAAAAAAGUUGAAUAAAUCAAUUAUCUAGGAAAAAAAUUAGUGAUAUUGGUUCCAGUAAAUAAAUAACUGGAAAGGAGACAAAACAAAGGAGAAAAAUACUGCAAGCAGCAAUAUCAAAGGCAAGAAAACUGCUAGGAAACAGAACAAAGGAGACUCUUGGGAAGAAAGGAUGGUAAUGAAUGCUUACUCAACCCAAGAGCUGUGAACGUUAGGUAUUGGUCUAAACAGACAGUACCAAUGUUUAAAAAGCAUUUAUAUUAGAAAGUAAUCAACAAACAUGUUUCCAUCCUGUAAUCGAUGGUUUAUGUAACAUCUUGAUUAGAAAUCUAAACAGAUAAACAGAUGUCUGUGGGUCGCACAGCAUCACUGAGGCUGGACACUGAAGAGACCUGAGAAAAAGUCCUAAAUCCAAGCAAUACAACAAAGGAAAGCCACAGUAAUGAAAUGCUCUCUAGAAAGAUUCGAUGAAUUCACAAUCAGCCUUGACUCCUCAGGGAAAGACAUCAUCUCCUUAUGGUCAUAUGGGCUGCUUGAUUAAAAUCUUUAGCUCACUAUUAUGGAAAAGAUGCACUUUGAUCUGUGAACCAAGUUCCUUCCCAAUGAAGAUGCAUUGGUUACCUGUAUCCUGAAGUACUUUAGUUCUAAGAGAACUCAAGUAAUUCAUUAUUCUUCUAAGACACAUGAAUACUAAAGAAUGCAACAAAAACUUUGUCUUCCUUUACAUGGGUUUUUUAAUUCAACAAAUCCACACCAAAAAGAAAUACAAUAAAGCUGAAUCUGAGGUGAAAAUACCUAUUUUUCAAAUAAGCCAUGAAUAAAAUGCUCCUCAAAAGGACUGGCUUGCCAGACAUGCAGGGGCCAGAUGAAACUGAUGACAGCCCUUGAUUUUCCUGCCUGCAGCAGACUCUAAAGGGUUAAGCACAUGAGAGUUUUUUCUAUUCAAAACUCUGUGCAACCUAUUUCCUUACCCAGAACAUCUCAUGCAUUGUGUUAGAGCACAAUGAAAGUAUUCAGAAAUUCUUGUGAUUCAUUCACUUUCUGUCACUGGUUUUAGGCUGCUGGCUAGGAAAGUGUUACUGUGGAAUAACACAAGUGCUCUGAUUAAAAUUACUUUGGGUCUUCAAUUCGCCUCUUCUGGACUUAGGGUGACACAAGCUGAAGCAGAAUCUAGCUUCUUCCAUUUCUCACAUCCUUAAAAUAAACCUGAGAAAUAUGGCUUCAUCACCCUUUUCAUGAGAUAUAGGAGCAAUACUGGGCUAGAUCAUUAAUGUCAGAGAGUGGCUAAAGCCCAAAGCAAUACAAUGAUUUUGUCCAGCUGAGAGAUCAGUUCUAUUGUUCUGUAAGGAUCUAAAAGGUAAUAAAACUUUCCAUUCUAGAAAGAUGCAGCUAUCAAACGUGCAUCAGCUUCUUCUGAUUUAAAGAUCCAUUUGCAUCUGAAAAGAUUCUAAAUUAUAUGUGUGCUUCACAUGCAAUGCUUCACAGUAAUCAAAUAGCAGGGCUAAGAAUGACAUAGAUGCUUCAGUGCUACACAUAAGUGCUUAUGGUUACUGAUACCACAGAGUUACCUAUCAGCAAUUAAAGAUGAUCUAGAAAAUCACUGCAAGCCCCUGUGCCCCCAAAAAAGCUGGGAAUAAGCUAAUACAGCUGCAUGGGCAGGGAAGUGUCUCAUGGACAGGCAGCUUGUGGCUCCAUCUCAGCUCACCAGGCUUCCAACUAUGUUCUCCUCAUUCUUGCUCCUGGGUCAGGUAUCUACAUAAAAAAUAAUCUGAACUGUAGGUUCUGACUUGAUUUAUUUAGAAUAUGCCAGUGAAAAGAAGAACUCUCUACAAAAACAAAACUACAGAAGAUAGAGUUAAUUCUUUCCAGGUUUGGAUUCAGGCUGAUCCAACAAGCCUAGCUUUGUCCCACAUCUGUUGGGAGGGUGGAAAAUUUGCUUACACUUGCCCUCAGGAAGGGCAAAUUGUGUAUCAGAUUGUUGGUUGAGCAAAUUAAGGAGCUUGUGUCCAAAUUGUUUCUCAGACUGCAAAAACCAAAGCUCUAAAAUAUUAUGGUAUCUCCCUGCUGGAAGACAAAAACUAUGUUCUUUAAUAAAAGAUACUGUUACAAAGAGGAUUUUCUGCUACAUACACACAUCAUUCCAAUUUUGAUGAAAGUCUCAUAAAUAAAAUUAACAAAACUGUCUCUGUACAAGGCAGGUCAUUUUUUAUCAUACCCAAAUUUCUUAACAAGUAGCAAUUACCAAGCCACAUUGCCUCUAAGUGCACCCAACAGUCACAGACUACAAGAUGACAUAUUAUACCCAUGAAUACCUCACAAUUGAAAUACAUUUCCCCUAUGGGACUACAUCACUGCUUGAUUUAAUUUUUCCUGACAUUUGGCCUGGAGCUUCUUUAAAGAAAUGAACUUAGGAUGGCUUUGCUGACAGCAAAGGACAAACCAUGGCUAUAUACUCAAAUCCUACUUAAAUCAUGCACACUACCCUUUUAAAACACUGAUCCUGCAUAAAUUGUAGGACAGUCUCUGGGAUCUAUUAGUCAGAGUUCAUCUUCUGCUGUUUGAGGAUGAGCUAUAGGUCCACAUAAGCAGUACAAAAGGUCCAGCAUAAAUCAUACAACUGCAAAGGAAUAAACAGCUUCACCAGUGACAAAUUUAUCGAUGUGGAAGGAGAUAUGCCAACUCCUCAGAAUCCCUACCAGGGUUUUUUACAGCCUCAGGAGUUCUUGCCAUGAAUCACCCAUAUUCUGGUUUGGAUUGGUUUCUUCUUCCUUUUCCUCCACUACGUUCACUAAAAAAAAUGGUAACUAAAAAGAUUCAAUUUCAAGAGAGAGAGGCAAAUGGAGAACCUUACUGUAAACUGAGGGAAAAGAGAAACACUACAGUGUUUCUAAUAAAACUCCUAUCUGAAGAGCAGCCAAAAAAGUCUACAUUCAUUCCCCAAUUAGGUUAUAUAUUUCUCUUUAACAUUAUGAAGCUGUUAUUAAUGUUAUGAAGUUUUGUGUCUCUUCAAAUACUAAUGUCUAUUUUAAGUGACACAUUGACAAGUUCAGAGAAGGAAGUGCUCUGGCUUUGACAGAGGCACAGUAAUACCAUCUAUGGAGUAUUUUCAAUGGUUUCAUGACAGUGUCUCAAUCCUGUGCCUGAGAUCAAAACUGUAGUUGUGUGGUCUCCGACUUCUCCUGGAAUCCUUGGUUUCAGUAUUGAGGGGAACUGAACAUAUCAUAAGGAGGAAAACUACCUAGUUUUAACUGUGCAAAGCUCUAAGAAAUUAUUUGUAUUUUAAUUAACUUAUUGUCUCAAAAAUACAUAGAAAUGGUGCCCCCCCCCCCAAAAAAAAAAAAAAAA
rnacentral:lncRNA from 1 species